ACAACAGCCCUUUUCAGGGCUACACAUAUGAUCAGGAAAAGCUAU
rfam:Lingula anatina scaffold299, whole genome shotgun sequence.